rnacentral:rRNA from 1 species
CGGAGGGUGCAAGCGUUAUCCGGAUUCACUGGGUUUAAAGGGUGCGUAGGUGGGUUGGUAAGUCAGUGGUGAAAUCCCCGAGCUUAACUCGGGAACUGCCAUUGAUACUAUCAGUCUUGAAUACCGUGGAGGUCAGCGGAAUAUGUCAUGUAGCGGUGAAAUGCUUAGAUAUGACAUAGAACACCAAUUGCGAAGGCAGCUGGCUACACGAAUAUUGACACUGAGGCACGAAAGCGUGGGGAUCAAACAGGAUUAGAUACCCUGGUAGUCCACGCCCUAAACUAUGGAUACUCGACAUACGCGAUACACUGUGUGUGUCUGAGCGAAAGCAUUAAGUAUCCACCUGGGAAGUACGAUCGCAAGAUUG